AUAUGAAUUAUUUGAAGGUACAAUAAAGCUUCGAGGUUGACAUAAAGGAGCUCAUAGCUUCCGCGGCUCCCUGUUUCGCCGACCUGCGCCUCCACAUGGACUAUUACGUUCCUUUCCCAUGGCUUCCUCACGUGGACUCAUACUUUUCUUCCUGUUGAUCCUUGCCACUGUCAGCAGCCUCAAACUGUGGUCGCAUUCCAUUGGGUGUAGCCGGAUGCUGUUAGAUUUGCUGACAAAAGACUACUGGACCAAGGGUGAUACGGACUCUGGGUAUGGUGCGAAGGCACAUGAUAAAAUUGGUCAAGUUAGAGGAAGGGGCUUUAGACAUGAGAAUACCAAGAUGAAGUGUGUUGGUGGUGGCUGUCCACUGGAGCUGCUGCCGGUGUCCACUAAGGCCUGCUGCCAUUGCCUUCUUUGACUGUGACUUCUCCUACCGUGAUGGCCUUCUUCAACUCCAUGUGUUUAGGCGGAUGAUGCGGACUCUGGGUACGGCGGGAAGGCACAUGAGAUAAGUGGCCAAGUUAGAGGAAGGGUCUUUAGACAUGAGAAGACCAAGAUGAAGCGUGUUGGUGGUGCUGUCCACUGGAGCUGUUGCUGGCGUCCACUUAAGGCCUGCGGCCCUUGCCUUCUUUGAUGGUGACCUCUCCUAUCUUGAUGGCCUUCUUCUUCUUCGACUCCAUGUGUUUAGAUGCAAGUUCUACAAAUCUGGUAGCAUCGUAGGCAUGACUGGAGGCGUGGAGGGUGGUCGGACAGGAAGCGAAAGCUGAACUCCUCUUCUUGCGAAACCAAUUGAAUACCUGAGUUGUAUUGGUUGUGGACUGUUGUUUGUGAGUCCAAAUCUGAAAUGUUGGGUUGUAGUUGACAAAGUAACAUCAUUCUUGUGAUGCUCCAGAGUUGUGAUGGAGUUGGGUUA